AGGAAAUGAGGCAAAAUUUCUAAAGGGAUAAUAUCAGUGUUUGGAGAACCUUUUCAUGCAUUAGAAGCUAUUCAAUUAAAACCUGAGAACAGUGUGUGUGUGUGUGUGUGUGUGUGUGUGUGUGUGUGUUCUG